rnacentral:rRNA from 1 species
UACGUAGGAUGCAAGCGUUGUCCGGAAUUAUUGGGCGUAAAGAGCGCGCAGGCGGUGUAUCAGGUCAGAUGUGAAAGAGGCCGGCUUAACCGGCAAGGGUCAUUUGAAACUGAUAGACUAGAGUGCAGCAGAGGAUAGUGGAAUUCCCGGUGUAGUGGUGAAAUGCGUAGAUAUCGGGAGGAACACCAGUGGCGAAGGCGACUAUCUGGGCUGCAACUGACGCUGAGGCGCGAAGGCUAGGGUAGCAAACAGG